GGACUACUACAGUAAACCAUCAGACUGGCUAGGGACUACUACAGUAAACCAUCAGACUGGCUAGGGACUACUACAGUAAACCAUCAGACUGGCUAGGGACUACUACAGUAAACCAUCAGACUGGCUAGGGACUACUACAGUAAACCAUGCUCGAGCAGCAGAGCAAACUUGUUCUUAUUUAGCAGCUUUGUGAUACUUUUGAUUGCCAUUAUUGUAGCUAGUUUUCCAGCUUUCUGAUGAAAUUAUACCGCAAUAAAGUUAUGGGUCUGUUCUCAGAAGUCAGCAGGUAUCAGACUAUGACAGCUGGCACUGGUGACUCUCUACCUUCUAACAUUUGGCCAAUAACGUUGCAGCUAGAGCCGUCAGCUGCUGGAGCACUCGGUACACUAAUCAUGGCAGUCCCAUAGGGCGACGGACAAUUGGCUAAGCAUCGUUAGUGUUUGGCCGGGGUAGGCCGUCAUUGUAAAUAAGAAUUUGUUCUUAACUGACUUGCCUAGUUAAAUAAAGGUUACAUUUAAACAAUUUAAUAAAUUCAAAUUCAUAUGGAUUGAUUGGAGACUGGCUCAGCUAGCAGUCAAGCUAGCUAGCUAAUUUUCGUGCACAUUUCAAAUAUAAUGAUACGGAUUCUAAAACGACAGUAGUCCUUAGCUACACAGUACCAGUCAAAAGUUUGGACACACCUACUCAUUCCAGGGUUUUUCUUUAUUUUUACUAUUUUCUACAUUGUAGAAUAAUAGUAAAGACAUCAAAACUAUGAAACAACACAUGGAAUCAUGUAGUAACCAAAAAAGUUUUAAAUUGAUAUUCUUCAAAGUAGCCACCCUUUGCCUUGAUGACAGCUUUGCACAUUCUUGGCAUUCUCUCAACCAGCUUCAUGAGGUAGUCACCUGGAAUGCAUUUCAAUUAACAGGUGUGCCUUGUUAAUUUGUGAAAUUUCUUUCCUUCUUAAUGUGUUCGAGCCAAUCAGUUGUGUUGUGACAAGGUAGGGGUAGAAGAUAGCCCUAUUUGGUAAAAGACCAAGUCCAUAUUAUGGCAAGAACAGCUCAAAUAAGCAAAGAGAAAUGACAGUCGAUCAUUACUUCAUGAUAUGAAGGUCAGUCAAUUAAAGUUUCUUCAAGUGCAGUUACAAAAACCAUCAAGCACUAUGAUGAAACUGGCUCUCAUGAGGACCGCCACAGGAAAGGAAGACCCAGAGUUACCUCUGCUGCAGAGGAUAAGUUAGAGUUACCAGCCUCAGAAAUUGCACCCCAAAUAAAUGUUUCACAUCGUUCAAGUAACAGACACAUCUCAACAUCAACUGUUCAGAGGAGACUGCGUGAAUCGGCCCUUCAUGGUCGAAUUGCUGCAAAGACACCACUACUAAAGGACACCAAUAAGAAGAAGACUUGCUUGGGCAAAGAAACACGAGCAGUGGACAUUAGACCGAUGGAAAUCUGUCCUUUGGUCUGAUGAGUGCAAAUUUGAGAUUUUUGGUUCCAACAUUAGUGUCUGUGAGACUCAGAGUAGGUGAACAGAUGAUCUCCGCAUGUGUUGUUGCCAACGUGAAGCAUGGAGGAGGAGGUGUGAUGGUGUGGGGGUGCUUUGCUGGUGACACUGUGAUUUAUUUAGAAUUCAAGGCAAACUUAACCAGCAAGGCUUCCACAGCAUUCUGCAGUGAUACGCCAUCCCAUCUGGUUUGCGCUUAGUGGGACUAUCAUUUGUUUUUCAACAGGACAGUGACCCAACACACCUCCAGGCUGUGUAAGGGCUAUUUCACCAAGAAGGAGAGUGAUGGACUGCUGCAUCAGAUGACCUGGCCUCCACAAUCACCAGACCUCAACCCAAUUGAGAUGGUUUUGGAUGAGGUGGACCGCAGAGUGAAGGAAAAGCAGCCAGCAAUUGCUCAGCAUAUGUGGGAACUCCUUCAAGACUGUUGGAAAAGCAUUCCUCAUGAAGCUGGUUGAGAGAAUGCCAAGAUUGUGCAAAGCUGUCAUCAAGGCAAAGGGUGGCUACUUUGAAGAAUCUCAAAUAUAAAUAUAUUUUGAUUUUGUUAAACACUUUUUUGGUUACUACAUGAUUCCAUAUGUGUUAUUUCAUAGUUUUGAUGUUUUCACUAUUAUUCUACAAUGUAGAAAAUAGUGAAAAAUAAAGUAAAACCCUUGAAUGAGUAGGUUUGUCCAAACGUUUGACUGGUACUGUAUAGAAUUAGGUAGUUAUGACUUGCUCAUGUCAAAAUUAGCUACGGAUUUAUGUUUUUUUUUUUUUUGGUAGUAUUAUCUCGCAGUCUUUUGAGGAUGAAUCGGGGUUCAGUAAAUGAUGUCACCUUGGUAACAUUUCCUAAUCUCAUGACAGUGUAUUGUAGCCCAACUACUUUUUGUUGAUCAAUCCCACUAGGGUUUGCGUGUUAUCAGACAGAUCAGUGCAGACAGCCGUGAUCUGACGUUAGACGACGGAUAAUAGACGAGAUGAAUGUUAGAAACAGAACACCACCUGUCUUGCUCUAAAUAUUUUACCACAGCUGGCAGUCACACUGAAUAAGCCUUCAAAUAAUAGGGUGUGCUAUUAUUAUUAUUAUUAUUAUGCAUUAUUUAAUAAGGAUUAUUUUUGGUGUUUACACAUUAAUAAUCCCUAAUCUAACAAUUACUGUAUUCACAGUUAAUUAACACUCUUAACUGUAUUCCAAAUGGCACUCUAUUCCUUAUGUAGUGGACUACUUUUGACCAGGGCCCAUAGUACUCUCUCUCUCUCUCUCUCUCUCUCUCUCUCUCUCUCUCUCUCUCUCUCACUGAAGGAGGAUUGUUAUUUAUUAAACACUAAUUCUGGGACCUGGAGACCCAAUGAUAAUGAUAGAAAUCCCGUGUAUUGUUAUGGGGAUUAUAAUGAUAGGCCUCAUCCAUCUCUUUCACUGUGGCGAUAUGGGGGAUACUUUCACUCCUCUGUUGUGUUUAAAGCAGCAUCAUACCCUACACCUCUGAAAUACGCCUCAUUUCUAUGGAUUAUUAUUCACAGUACAGUAUGUAGAAUGUAGCUUGUACAUAGCCUUUUACAGGAAUACUUUUUGUAUUCUUUUUUUUUCUCUCCCUUAAUACUUCAUUAUUAUACAUUUUUACUAGUUUUUUUGCUAAUUAUUUUAGACAAAUAUAUAUAUGAAUAUAUAGAUAUUAGUCGUUCCUUUUUUUUAUUUGAUUGGACACAUGCUAGUUGAAUGUUUGUUAAAAUUGUUUAUUUGUUAUGAGGUGUUGCCUGGGAAACAACUGAAGAACAACAACAUGUCAUAAGUCCUUACAUGACAUUACUCCACACAUCUUAACUGUGAUUUUGUUCAAAAAACAAGAGAGAAAGCUUUGAUUAAAAAAAUAUUAAAAUAAGAUAACAAAAACUAAUCUAUCAUUUCAAAGGCCAGCCUCUUGUUUAUGUUCUAGUACCGGUUCCAGCCGGUUCCAGCCGGUUCCAGACGGUUCCAGCCGGUUCCAGCCGGUUCCAGCCGGUUCCAGACGGUUCCAGCCGGUUCCAGCCGGUUCCAGCCGGUUCCAGCCGGUUCCAGAUUAUUUGAUUAGCACCUUGUGACGUGUGUUCUCAAUGUUUGUGAUGUAAUUUAUUAAUGUUUUUAUACUUGUACAAUUCUUAAGAGUUUUGUUUUGGGGAUAUUUUAUCAGCCUGUGAAUGAAAUCCCCCCCCCUCCGCCUACUUAGCGAGUUAGUUCCACCAUGUUGUUUAUGACGUCAGUAAGUUUUCAGGCACUGUCUGGUCACUACAUUUUGUAUUGUUAAACUAAUGUUUUUGUUUGUGUUUUUUCAUAUUAUUGUUUUCAUAUGGUUUCUAACAUCUCACUCUGUCCGCAUCAGUCAAGAUGUUACAUGUAUUAUUGUUAUUAUUAUUGUUAUUAUUAAGAAGCUACGUCCAAUAACCAUCAUGCCAUCGAUUUUAUUUUUCUAGAAAACGUCAGAAUGAUUAUGUUAAUUUUUACGUAAGGUUUGUUCAUGUGCUGUUUGAUAACAGUAUUUUAGUCAGAUGUAAAUGAUGUAUCCACAAUACGACACUCAGAUCAAACUGUCUUUCAGCGGAAAUCUUUCAGGUUUUAUUUCUACAUGAAUACGGUCUUGUGUGUUUUCUAUGUCCAACCUAUUAAAUGUAUACACUGUUGUCAAAUGAAUACAACUUUUAUCCUUGUUGACUUUUGCAAUACAAUAUUGUCUAAACCAG
rnacentral:lncRNA from 1 species